CCUACGGGAGGCAGCAGUAGGGAAUCUUCCACAAUGGGCGAAAGCCUGAUGGAGCAACGCCGCGUGGGUGAAGAAGGUCUUCGGAUCGUAAAACCCUGUUGUUAGAGAAGAAAGUGCGUGAGAGUAACUGUUCACGUUUCGACGGUAUCUAACCAGAAAGCCACGGCUAACUACGUGCCAGCAGCCGCGGUAAUACGUAGGUGGCAAGCGUUAUCCGGAUUGAUUGGGCGUAAAGGGAACGCAGGCGGUCUUUUAAGUCUGAUGUGAAAGCCUUCGGCUUAACCGGAGUAGUGCAUUGGAAACUGGGAGACUUGAGUGCAGAAGAGGAGAGGGGAACUCCAUGUGUAGCGGUGAAAUGCGUAGAUAUAUGGAAGAACACCAGUGGCGAAAGCGGCUCUCUGGUCUGUAACUGACGCUGAGGUUCGAAAGCGUGGGUAGCAAACAGGAUUAGAUACCCCAGUAGUC
rnacentral:rRNA from 1 species